rnacentral:rRNA from 1 species
UACGGGGGGAGCAAGCGUUGUUCGGAUUUACUGGGCGUAAAGGGCGCGUAGGCGGCUAGAUGUGUCAAAGGUGAAAUCCCUCGGCUCAACUGAGGAACUGCCUUUGAAACUGUCUGGCUUGAGGCCGGGAGAGGGUAGCGGAAUUCCCAGUGUAGCGGUGAAAUGCGUAGAUAUUGGGAGGAACACCAGUGGCGAAGGCGGCUACCUGGACCGGUUCUGACGCUGAGGCGCGAAAGCGUGGGGAGCAAACAGG